rnacentral:rRNA from 1 species
CGCAUCUGUGCAUGCAGCAUAUCAAUAAGCGGAGGAAAAGAAACUAACAAGGAUUCCCCUAGUAACGGCGAGUGAAGCGGGAAGAGCUCAAAUUUGAAAUCUUAAAGGGUUUCCCUUUACGAAUUGUAGUUUAAAGAAGUGUUUUCUGUUGAGGUUUUGGUAAAAGUUCUUUGGAAUAGGACAUCAUAGAGGGUGAGAAUCCCGUAUUUGACCUUUACUUUCAACUUUGUGAUACACUUUCAAAGAGUCGGAUUGUUUGGGAAUGCAGUCCAAAAUGGGUGGUAAAUUUCAUCUAAAGCUAAAUAUUGGCGAGAGACCGAUAGCGAACAAGUACCGUGAGGGAAAGAUGAAAAGAACUUUGAAAAGAGAGUUAAACAGUACGUGAAAUUGUCAAAAGGGAAGCGUUUGACACCAGUGUUGUUUUUCUGAAAAUCAAUUAAAGAACUGUUUAUGCUAAGCUGUUUAGACUUUAUCAGCUAUCUGUUUAGUUUUAGGCUUUUCUUUAAUGCACUUUUCAGUUAACAAGUCAACAUCAAUUUCUUUUGCUGUAAAAAAAGCUUGCGGAAGGUGGCUUGAGAUUCGUCUUAAGUGUUUAUAGCCUCUUGCCUAUGCAGUCGGAGAGAUUGAGGUCUGCAGCGUAGAUCCUUCGGGGCUAAAUGCAUUUGUGCUAAGUUAUAGCAUUUUAUAGACAACUUGUUGACUAUGAUUUGUCUUGUAGCUUACUCGCUUAUGUUAUUUUACCUACGCUUAGGAUGUUGAACGCGCACAGAGUCUC